rnacentral:sRNA from 1 species
CCCCCCCAGGUACUGAAGACUCAGACCAAGUUCCAGGCUGGAGUUCGAUUCCUGUUGGGCUUGAGGUUCCUGGGGGCCCCAGCCAAGCCUCCGCUGGUCAGGGCUGACAUGGUGACAGAGAAGCAGGCGAGGGAGCUGAGUGUGCCUCAGCGUCCUGGGGCUGGAGCAGAAAGCACUGGAGAAAUCAUCAACAACACUGUGCCCUUGGAGAACAGCAUUCCUGGUAACUGCUGCUCUGCCCUGUUCAAGAACCUGCUUCUCAAGAAGAUCAAGCGGUGUGAGCGGAAGGGCACUGAGUCUGUCACAGAGGAGAAGUGUGCUGUGCUCUUCUCUGCCAGCUUCACACUUGGCCCCGGCAAACUCCCCAUCCAGCUCCAGGUGAACCGUGGCCCAGCCCUGCCCCAAUCUGGGACCCCGAGUCCUCCUCCAAUGCCACACACAGGGGCCCUGGACCCUCACCUCUUGUGACUGCCCCAUACCCCAUGUGUCUGGGAUUCAUGCACACUGGGGCCCGGGUGAGUGGGGAUGAGCAAGAGCAUGGAGUGCACAGUGCAGGGAAUGGUAGUGGAUAGCAGCAAACACUUCGGAAGCACUUCCUAUAGACCAGGGCACUCUAUUAAAUGAUACAUAUGCACAUGCAUGCCAGCACACACCCAUUUGGUUUUCACAAUAACAUUAUGAGGUAGGCAGUAUUAUCAGCCUCAUUUUAUAGAUAAGGACAUUGAGACAGAGAGUUUAAGUAGUUUGUCCCAGUCACACAGCUAAGUGUUGGAGCUGGUAUUUGAAACCUGGAGGUCUGGCUCCAUAGCAAUGACUCAUAACCACUUCUCUACAGUGAGGCCCUGAUUGAGCUUCAGAAAGCAUUUAAUAACAUGGCAUGAGCUUUUUGAUUAUGAUGUGUGAGUCCAAUAACUUCUCUGAGUGCUCAGAGCCAGCCCCCUGAGGAAACUUCUUGCUUCACUAAGAAACCCCUGUCCGGCUGGGUGUGGUGGCUCACGCCUGUAAUCCCAGCACUUUGGGAGGCCAAGGUGGGUAGAUCACGAGAUCAGGAGUUCAAGACCAGCCUGGCCAAUAUGGUGAAACCCCGUCUCCACUAAAAAUACAAAAAUUAGCUGGGCGUGGUGGUGCAGGCCUGUAGUCCCAGCUGCUCGGGAGGCUGAGGCAGGAGAAUCGCUUGAACCCAGGAGGCGGAGGUUGCAGUGAGCCAAGAUUGCGCCACUGCACUUCAGCCUGGGUGACAGAGCAAGACUCUGUCUCAAAAACAAACAAACAAAAAAAACAACUCAGCACUUUGGGAGGCCAAGGCAGGAGGAUCGCUUGAGCCUGCAAGUUUAAGACCAGCCUGGGCUAGAUAGGGAGAUCCAAUCUCUACAAAAAAUAAAAAAUUGGCCGGGCACGGUGGCUCACGCCUAUAAUCCCAGCACUUUGGGAGGCCAAGGAGGGCGGAUCAUGAGGUCAGGAGAUCGAGACCAUCCCGGCUAACAUGGUGAAACCUCGUAUCUACUAAAAAUACAAAAAAUUAGCCAGGUGUGGUGGCGGGCGCCUGAGUCCCAGCUACUCAGGAGGCUGAGGCAGGA